rnacentral:rRNA from 1 species
GACAGAGGGUGCAAACGUUGUUCGGAUUUAUUGGGCGUAAAGAGCGUGUAGGCGGCUUGGAAGGUCAGCUGUGAAAACUCGAGGCUCAACCUCGAGACGUCGGUUGAAACCACCUGGCUAGAGUCCGGAAGAGGAGAGUGGAAUUCCCGGUGUAGCGGUGAAAUGCGCAGAUAUCGGGAAGAACACCCGUGGCGAAGGCGGCUCUCUGGGACGGUACUGACGCUGAGACGCGAAAGCGUGGGGAGCGAACAGG